rnacentral:rRNA from 1 species
UACGGAGGGUGCAAGCGUUAUCCGGAUUUACUGGGUUUAAAGGGUGCGUAGGCGGCUUCUUAAGUCAGUUGUGAAAUCCUAGUGCUUAACACUAGAACUGCCAUUGAUACUGGGAGGCUUGAGUCAAGGUGAGGUAAGCAGAAUUUAUGGUGUAGCAGUGAAAUGCUUAGAUACCAUAAGGAAUACCAAUAGCGAAGGCAGCUUACUGGCCUUGUACUGACGCUGAGGCACGAAAGCGUGGGGAGCAAACAGG